rnacentral:rRNA from 1 species
CUAAGGAACCGAAGUACUUGAUUCCAUGCUUCCAAGAAAAGCGUCUAGAAAGAGAAGUAGUGCCCGUACCGCAAACCGACACAGGUAGGUGAGAAGAGAAUCCUAAGGCCGGCGGAAGAAUCACAGUUAAGGAACUAGGCAAAUUGACCCCGUAACUUCGGGAUAAGGGGUGCCUGCGAGAGCAGGUCGCAGAGAAUAGGCCCAAGCAACUGUUUAGCAAAAACACAGGUCUCUGCUAAAGCGAAAGCUGAUGUAUAGGGGCUGACGCCUGCCCGGUGCUGGAAGGUUAAGGGGAACACUUAGCGCAAGCGAAGGUGUGAACUUAAGCCCCAGUAAACGGCGGCCGUAACUAUAACGGUCCUAAGGUAGCGAAAUUCCUUGUCAGGUAAGUUCUGACCCGCACGAAUGGCGUAAUGAUUUGGGCACUGUCUCAACUGUGAAUCCGGCGAAGUUGUAGUGCGAGUGAAGAUGCUCGCUACCCGCGAUUGGACGGAAAGACCCCGUAGAGCUUUACUGUAGCUUAGCAUUGAAUUUCGGUAUUGUCUGUACAGGAUAGGUGGGAGACUAGGAAACCAGAGCGUCAGCUUUGGCGGAGUCACCCUUGGGAUACCACCCUGAUAGUACUGAGGUUCUAACUGGAUGCCAUGAAUCUGGUGACAGGACAUUGUUAGGUGGGCAGUUUGACUGGGGCGGUCGCCUCCGAAAGUGUAACGGAGGCGCCCAAAGGUUCCCUCAGAACGGUCGGAAAUCGUUCGAAGAGUGCAAAGGCAGAAGGGAGCCUGACUGCGACACCCACAAGUGGAGCAGGGACGAAAGUCGGGCUUAGUGAUCCGGUGGUACCUCGUGGGAGGGCCAUCGCUCAACGGAUAAAAGCUACCUCGGGGAUAACAGGCUGAUCUCCCCCAAGAGUCCACAUCGACGGGGAGGUUUGGCACCUCGAUGUCGGCUCGUCGCAUCCUGGGGCUGAAGUAGGUCCCAAGGGUUGGGCUGUUCGCCCAUUAAAGCGGCACGCGAGCUGGGUUCAGAACGUCGUGAGACAGUUCGGUCCCUAUCCGUCGCGGGCGUAGGAAAUUUGAGAGGAGCUGUCCUUAGUACGAGAGGACCGGGAUGGACUGACCUCUGGUGCACCAGUUGUUCCGCCAGGAGCACAGCUGGGUAGCUAAGUCGGGAAGGGAUAAACGCUGAAAGCAUCUAAGCGUGAAGCCCACCUCAAGAUGAGAUUUCCCAUAGCGUAAGCUAGUAAGACCCCUUGAAGAACACAAGGUUGAUAGGUCAGAGGUGUAAGUGUGGUAACAUAUUUAGCUGACUGAUACUAAUAGGUCGAGGGCUUGAC